AUUGAUAGAAAAGCCUGACAAUAAAACAAACACCCUGGAGAAAUAUAAAUGACUGGCCCUGAUACCUUUUGUAAAAACCCAUCCACGGGCGAUCAACACUAUUUUACAGGCACUCUCACCAGCCCUGAAGGCUUCUCCAAAUGUUCCAUCACCAAUAUUUUAUAUACUACCUGGGUCACUGCUUACAAGAUAAUUCAGAUCUUCCGUCAGAAAUCCAUGGAGUGUAUUCGAGCAACCUUUUUCGGGGUAUUCUCCUCUAAAAUCCAUUAUUCCAAAAGAUUCUUGUGAAUCUCAGCUGUAUCACCCGCAUCUUCAAGACUACUAGUAGCAAUGCAGUAUAUCAUCAUUGGGACGACCGAGCGAAGCGAGGGAGGACCUUUAUACGUCCACUUUCUAAGUGAUCAAUUAUUACAAAAAGUUUGAGAAUGGUCCAUGCUGAAAAACCAAAAAUGCCUCUACAUGUUUCCAUUUCUCACUAAAACUAGGGUAAAUAUAACAUAAAAUGAAGGGUAAUCACGUAAAAUUCAUGGGCAGAAAAAAGGCCACGGAGGUUGGAAAUGUGUUAAUUAUUGAGGGACAGUUUAGUAAAAUAGUAGGUAAAGUGACAUAAAUGUUGCAGGAUCAAAUCCCGACCACCUCCUUCUUCUUCUUUUUUUCCCUUUUUUUUCCCCUUCUUCGUUUUUCUUUCUUCUUCAGCCAUGAAACCGAGAGAGGAGAUCGAGACAGAGAAGAUUAAUGGAAGAUGAUUGAAGAUAGAAAUUGAGAAGGAUUCGAAGUAGAAGAUGUGAAUGUUGCCAUCGUUUAACAGGAAGAAUGGAAAUGGUCGUUGCUGUUUCAAGUGAAGAGUUAGGGUUUUGUUUCUGAAGAAUUAGGGUUCGUAGGAGUUGAACUAAUAUGGUUGAAUCUGGAGGAGAUGGGUUGAGAAUCUAAGAAGAAAUUGGUGUUAAUGUUACCAUGGGUUGAGAACCAAUCGAGAAAUUAGAAGGUGGUAUAGAUUGAGUUGCUGAGAUGGGUGAUUAGGUUCAGAUGGAGGAAUUUUUGAAGAUUAAUGGAUAAUUUAGGGUGUGUAGAAGAUGAAUCUGGUGGUUGUUUGCCAUGAUUGAGUCAGAGAAGGAAAAGUCGAAUCUGAGAUGGAAAUGGAUUCAGGGUUUGAGUUUGAACCAUGGCUUGCUGAGCUCGAGCACCUGUGGUGGGGUUUUGAUUUGAAUCUGAGAUUUGAAAGUGCUCGAUGAAGUUGUGAAAGGGAAUGGAGAUGUUGAUGUUCAUGGGUAUACACAGGAUUGCUAGAAGCCGUGAUAUUAGAUGAAGAAAGUUUAAAAUAAGCAAUCAGUAACAGAGAUUGAUGAAUGGAGGUUCUUGAGAUGUGAAUUGAAGAAAAUGAAAUGCUGGGUGUUACCAAAAAUUCAGAUGGCUGUUGGUGAUUGUGAACUGCGGUGAACAAAUGUAAGUGCAGUGGUAACAGUAAUUAUUAGUUUCUCAGUACUAGAUUUUUUUCUAAUAUUGUUUCUUUAGAUUUAUUCCACAUCCAUACGAAUACUUUUUUUGUAUUAAACUUGAUUGAUUUUAUCUAUUACUUAUCAAUAAUGAGGUUACAUUUUUUAGUUUAGUUAGUUUUUUGGUAGAUUAGAGUUACAAGCAGGGAAUAUGAAGCUUCUCCUGUUAUUUUGUGGCUGAGCAAGUACUGCGAAGAGUGGCUUGCAGUUACUGAAUGACAUUAUUCUUUCAUUAUUAAGAUGCUCUAAUCCAUGUAUUAAUGCAUUUGCCACAUAGAGUAGUAAUAUUUCCUCUAUUAUGAUCCAUACUUCAAAACAAUUAUACACCUAAUCUCUUGAAAUUAUGUAGUCAAAGCAUGAAAAAGAUAGUGAUUAAGAUAACAAACUUGCUCUGUAUUUAUGAUUCCCUAUGGCUAUGCAUCUGUGGAGUCAAUAGAUAAAUAGGAAAUUGGACCUCCUAAUUAAGGAGGAGCCAGGCCUUUGUGAACAAGGAUUUGCAUGUACUUACAAGCAAGAUAUCUGGAAGCAAGGUACUUGCAAAUUCAUGUUUUUUCUUCCCUGAAAUUCACAACACCUUCCUAGCUCUCUAAUUUGGAUAAUAUAUCGUGAUUUUUCUUUUUGAAAUGCUUACGGGUAGUAGCAUCACAAGUGGGGAGUUGAUACCAAAAACGUGUACAAUUUUUUCUGUUGUAUCUUAUGAGUUUGGUGGUCAUAUGAGUGACAUCGAAGUGUCUGUAUUACUUGGUACUCCAAAAAUAUCUCUUUCUGCAAUGGAUAUGCAUGAGAUGGAAUAACUUGGGGCUGUGUUUUCUUCAAGGUAUUGUUUCAAUUUUUUAUUCGAUGUUUGUUGAUUUCGUGAUGGAUAUGAAAUUGGGGAUGUGUUUGCUUAGGUAUAGAAAGAUGGAUUGCAAUUUGAUUCAAAAAUGUUGUGUGUGUCAUACAUUGAAUUGACUCAAAAUCAAUGUCAAUUUUGCGUGUGUGUGUUUUUUCGAUCAAAUUUGGGGAUUUCUUAAUUUAUGAAUAUGGUGAUGGCUUGAGAUAAAGGAGAAGUGAGUGAGGUGAAUGAGGAAAAGUUGGUUAAAGCCGCCAAGAAAGGUGCUGCGAUUUUGGAUCAGCAUCUUUCUGACCAAUAUAAGACAAUCUACCAUGUAUUGGAGCAUGGAGGUGAAAUCUAUGAUGCAAUGUUGAACCAAACAAAAUCUCUCAGAUGAUAAUAAUAAGUUCUACGUGAUUCAAGCUCUUGAAUCAGACGGCUGGCGACGUCCAACGGGGAGGUGAUGCAGUUGCUGCUCCAGCCCUUGCUGCUGGUGGGGAUUGGACUGAUACAGUUGUUCCUGCGGCAGGAGUGGAUGUAUCUUUGGAGUCAGUGGCGGCAUCAUCCCUUCAGCUGCAAGUUGUGAGUGAGGGGUGCAGUAAUGUCUUAUAUUUUUUGCUGGUCUUUUCUCAUGUACUCACGGUGUUCUACCGAACCUUGCUUUCUAUGUUGAGCUAAUUUUGUUUUAAUAGUUGAAAAGAUAUUUUAGUUUUCUUAGCUCCAUACCUUGAACCUUUCUUAUUUUAAUAGCAAAUUCCUUUCGUUUGG